rnacentral:rRNA from 1 species
UACGUAGGGUGCAAGCGUUGUCCGGAAUUAUUGGGCGUAAAGAGCUCGUAGGCGGUUUGUUGCGUCGGCUGUGAAAUCCCGAGGCUCAACCUCGGGUCUGCAGUCGAUACGAGCAAACUAGAGUGUUGCAGGGGAGACUGGAAUUCCUGGUGUAGCGGUGGAAUGCGCAGAUAUCAGGAGGAACACCAAUAGCGAAGGCAGCUCGCUGGGACGAUACUGACGCUAAGGCGCGAAAGCGUGGGGAGCGAACAGG